UGGGAUGUCUCUCUCUCCCCCACUCUCUGUUUCCCUUUCUUUUUUUGUCCCCUCUCUCCAGGGCUCCUGAUUUCUCUUCAGCCUGACGCUCUUUUCAGUUAACGGCAAGGCGGUGCACCCAAGUCCGGUGGUGUCCUACCUGGUGACCUCCUACCUGUGCUGGGACGCCAGCGACUUGAUGCUGCACUCCGCCAUCUCCCAGGAGCCGUGUCCUACCUAAGCCCAGUGGGCAUGUGAAGCAGAGGGCAGCCCUUGAAUGCGCGGCGGCUGAGCUACCGCGGGUGGGCCGUGCAGCAGGGCGCAGCGAGGCGGACAUCCAAACAGCGGAACUCAGACGCUGACUCCGAGCGCACCCCGGGCCUUCCCAUUUCAUACACCCUCGAGGAUGAGACCCAAGCACCUCCAAGGAAUAGCACCCGAGGUCUUCAGGACACCGACCGGUAGCCAUGGCCAGAUGCCCGGCCAACCCCUUCAGCGUGGCCACGCCCUGGAUAUUCGACCUCCCCUGAGGCCCCACCCCCUGAUAUCAGGCCACGCCCUCCGAGGGGACCGGUGGCAAACUCCAGCCCUCGCUCUAGGGCCCGCCCUUUGCGGCUUUGUCCCUGCCCACUGGGUCCUCACAGUACCUCCACCCCAGAGGCCCAGCAUCCCCUCCCGUUCUGCAGACACUUGUCCAGCGUCCCGCUGAGCUCGGCAGUGUGGCUAGUUUGUGUGGCCCUGCCCCUGGUGCCCAGCCAGGGUGGUCUGCAUGGAACUUCUUUCCCGGAGUUCCGGCCUCAGCUCCGAUGUCCACCCUUGUCCCCAGGUGGACACAGCACCGCCCAGCAUUUGGUGCAACUCCACCCUUCUGCAGAACGGGCCCCUCCCUGGGAAGGCAUGGCUUGCAAUAACAUCCCUCUGUACCUUUUCUGGCUUCCCCGCCACAAUAAAACCUCUCAGCCUCAG
rnacentral:lncRNA from 1 species